GCGUCGCUACUGCAACGGUUUAGCAGGCUUUCCCGAAAAGAGUGGGAUCUGGGUUCAAAUCUCGGCUGACGUA